rnacentral:rRNA from 1 species
GAAUAUUGGACAAUGGGCGCAAGCCUGAUCCAGCUAUCCCGCGUGCAGGAUUAAGGUCCUAUGGGUUGUAAACUGCUUUUGUAUGGGAAGAAUACCCUGGACGUGUUCGGGAUUGACGGUACCAUCCGCAUCAGCACCGGCUAACUCCGUGCCAGCAGCCGCGGUAAUAAGGAGGGUGCAAGCGUUACCCGGAAUCACUGGGUUUAAAGGGUGCGUAGGCGGCUGCGUAAGUCAGGGGUGAAAGCCCUCCGCUUAACGGAGGAGGUGCCUUUGAUACUGCGCAGCUUGAAUUAGGUUGAGGUUAGCGGAAUGUGGCAUGUAGCGGUGAAAUGCAUAGAUAUGCCAUAGAACACCGAUUGCGAAGGCAGCUGGCUAGACCUAUAUUGACGCUGAGGCACGAAAGCGUGGGGAGCGAACAGG